rnacentral:lncRNA from 1 species
AGGUGACGACAAGAUCACUAGAUAUCCACUGUCCAGUUUAGGCCAUCUUGAGAAAGGUUUCUUGCUGUACCAAAUGACGGAGAAAGGAUAUCCAGGACUGGGUUAUCAUUCAAACUUCAACAGAACAAUCCAAGUAGCUAGGUUUGAAGUGUGCUGCAAUGCUUCAAUGAUGUUCAUUUUCCAAAGAUCUAAGCUUCGCUAGUGUUGGGGUCUUCUUCUCCGCGAAGGCCCUUUAGGCAAAAACACCUUCAGCAAGACAGUACAAAGGCAGGUGCAACAUGAAGAUAUAAGCCGAAGCUACAAUCAAAAGAGCUUCGGUUUGGUGUCAUGCUAAAGACGAAGGACGAUACCGACUUAAAGAGGAAAAUACUGUAUAGCCCUUGGUAGUCUGUAUUAUGAUCAUAAUUAGUUAUUAAUGAUAUAAAUGUAAUUUUGUUCGGGCUACGGCUCGCGCCUAUAAAUAGAUGAACAAUAUCCCCGUAUUGUUUACGCUGCAUGGUUGUUGGGGACUUGUUCUCAAAUGCUAUGAAUUAAGAACAAGGCAACACAAAAAAAAAGUUAAAGGUUAAUGCCCUUCGUCUCUCGAAACAUUAUUUCCCUGAGGAUAUAACGAUAUUCGGACGAAGGUCAUGAAGGACAUACCUUCGUGAUCAUAAUAUACUUAGAUGAAAGACGAAGCAUAUGAAACAUGGAAAAUAACAUGAAUAAUAGAAUGAUGUUAUAAUAUACAUUUGCUGUUAUUUAAUCAUGAAUGAAUAUAAACAAUAUUGAAUUACAUUUAUACCUUUGACUUGACAGAAGGUAAAAAUCCAAGUAUGACGUGUGAGUGAAUACAAGUCAGCGUGAACAGUACAGUGAUACUGUUUAUCUAUUUAUAGGCAUAGCACGCAGCCUGUGUGGAUUUAUAUUCAUGUCCUUUACAACUGAUUAUAAUCAUGACACAGAUUAUCAUGGACCAAUCGGUAUUUUCAUCUUUAAGUCGGUGCUACCCUUCGUCUCAUGGCGUGUCACUAUGCCGAAGCUCCCCGGAUGGUAGCUUCGGCUUUGUUUCUGUGUUGAUCUUCCGAAAGUGUUUCUUCUUACAGGACCUUCGGCGACGAAGCAGACCCCCAACAGUAGCCCCUUUACGGUGCCAGAUCGUUUUUCGUAACGAGUUCGACCCGUGAAAAAUUCUCUUAGGCUUUGGAAUGCCGAAGGUCCGAAAACACCUUCCAUAAGCUCGUUGUCGAGAAACAAUUAAAUAUUUCGAGUGCAAGGUGGUCCCACCAUACGACGGGUACGCGUGAUCUAGUGAUUCACCUUCUCGCGCACUGUGGUCCACCGUUCAGUGGGUGCGGGCGACUGUUCAGCGGGUGUGAGCGGCUUGACGAUUCACCUUCCCACCUGCAUCACUAUAUAAACAGACGGGUAGGUGUGAAGUUACCACAACAUUUAUUACUAUUGCACUGUUGUGCUGCUGAAAAAUUUGACCAUAGCCGAAGCUUAUUCAUCGUAUUCUCAAUCAGAGCAUCGUCUUGUUUUAGCUUCGUUAUAAGAGGGAGGUUCGGCAAAAUUGCAAAAAGUCAUCAACUUCAUCAAAACCGUAAGAAAUUCAGUAUCAAAUGGCCAGAGUGCGUUCAACUGCUAGAGUUACACGCGACGGAGAGGAGGCCGAAGCUGCUGAGACUGCCCCAAUCUCCGAAGUAAUGAGGCAAUCAGGAUUGGUUGUGAUAGAGGGUGCUUCUGACGAAGGUGCGCCUGCUGCCGAAGCUGAACAAGCUGACAUUGAAGAGGGUGAUGCUGAAGAAGAGAUAGAUUAUAACACCGUCAUGCCAUCCAAACCCAGCCACUUGGACUUUGGAAAGUCUACUGUCUCUAGGGCUGAUAUGCCCAUGAUGAUAAAGCUAGGCUACUUCGGGGAAGCCGAGAAGAGGCUGAUUUGUUUUGGCGGAGAAGAAACCACUCCGAAGCCAGAAAAUGACGAGGUGGUAGUUUUCAGAAGCUUCUUCAAAGCAGGAUUGAGGUUUCCUCUGCAUGAAAUGAUUGGGGAUGUUUUGGAAGAUUUCGAAAUUUAUCUUCAUCAGCUGACUCCUAACGCCAUCGUUAGGCUCAACGUCUUUAUCUGGGCUCUCCGAAGCCAAGGAGUGGACCCGCUUGCCGAAGCUUUCUGCCGGGUGCACGAGCUUCAUUAUCAGACGAAGGCUAGAGAUGAUGGGCUACACGAGAAUUUCGGCUGUUACAACUUUGUGUACCGCAAAGAUAUGAAGACUCCGGUGAUCAGCUAUCACACCAAAUGGCCAACCGGCUGGAAGAAUGAGUGGUUUUAUGUUAAGGUUGAUGAGAAGAUGGAGAAGAUUGUUCAGAGCCCACUGGACCUAACCUUCGGGUUAACUAGGCCCCUAUGUGACAUGCUGCAAGGGUCACCAUGCCGAGAAGUUGUGGACGAAUUUCGAGUUGUGUCUGAGCAUAUUGGUACUAGAGAUUUGGUGCAGGAAUACUUAGCCAACAGAGUAUUUCCGACGUUAAAGGAAUGGAACAUGCCGAAGCUUAAAGAAGAAAAGAAAAAGAAUGAACUUGUUCGACUGUCCUAUCCCUUCAAGUUCAAGAAAUAUUUCAAAGAGCCUUGCCAAGAAUGGUUGGAAAUGAUCGAAGCUAUGUGCAAUGAAAUUUUGGGCAACUAUACUAAGAAAGAAGAUCAAUUGAUGACCGCGGCCUUCGACACCCGACCGAAACAAAGGCUAAACCGAGUAAUGGAUGCCCUGAAAUUUGAAUACCCUGACUAUGAACGGUUAAGAAAGGGUGCCGAAGGGCCAAAGCGAAAAAGAGUUGUCAGUGUCAUCAAGAGGCAAGCUGCUAGAAUGAUAGAAGAAGAUGAGAAAGCUUUGAAAAAAAAUCCAGCCCUGAGCCGAAGGUGGCUGUUCCGAAGAAAAGAAAAACUUCGGCCGUGAAGCCAACAACAAUUGAUAUAGAGGAAAAAAUUCCUUCAACGCCUCCUGCUGCUGACGUGGAGGAAAUUUUAAAGGUAAUGACCAAAUCUUUACCUCUCAAGCUAAGUCCACUAGAGCCACAACUGAUGAAGCUUUUACAGAAGAAGGAGCCUGCGGCAAUCAAGAAGCCUGCUGAAAAAAAGGCAAAGGAUCAUUACUGUUAUUGAUGCUAUUGAAGAAACGCCACCGUCGGCUUCAGCGUCAAAAACACCAGCUGCCGAAGCUGCUCCUACCGAAGUUACGACUGCCGAAGCUGUGGCGGCCGAAGCCACAAGUCUUGAGAGCGCAUUUUCUGAUAUUGAUAAGAUGAUUUUGAAUAUGGCCACGGAAAAAACUGCUACAGCUGCCGAAGAGACCUCGGCCACAGUGCCUGGGAAAGAGAAGGAGAUUGCCGAAGAUACUUCAGAGGAAAAUGAUUUUAAUUUUCGAAACAUAAUUGGCCAAAAGCUGUCUAAGGUUGAGAAGGAAGAGCUGAGGGAUUAUGCAAUAUCAUGCGACUAUCAGCCAGGAGCAUUGCUCUUUGGUGGUGUUGACGAAGAGAGCUUAGGAUGCCUUCGGGACCGGACUGAAGCGAAAGUUGUCAAUACUCUAUCGAAGAGAGUUGGCUUUCUGAAGCUUGAGGCCGACCUCAGCAGAUACCGGCGGCAACAUAUCGUCGGUAGCUUGUUUUAUUCUAAUUUUAAGGUAAAGUUCUUACCUUAACUUUUUAUUGUUUUCGAGAUGAAGGUUACUUCUGAUGAAGGUUAUUUUUUCAGAGUCUACUACUAAGUAAAACCUUGAGGAUGCAACAAGACCUCGAGGACAAGAAAAAUGAGAUUAUAAUUGAGGGCUUAGAGGACAAAAUUAAAGAUCACGAAGCUGCUCUGGAGAAGAAGGAUUUCGUGCUUCAAACAAUGGAGGGUUCGCCGACAGAAGCCCAACCCGAGAUUGCUAGAUUGAACAGUGAACUCUCCACGAAAUCAAAAAGCUUCGAACAAGAGAAGAAGGAUUUUGAUGCAAAGCUUGAAGCUGAAGUUGCAAAAAGUUCGAACUUGCAAAAGUCAUUGAAGGAACUUCAAGAUAAAUGUCUGAACUUCGGCAACCGGUGCGUGCAACGACUGAAGCAGGUCUUCAACUCUGUUGGAGCCAGUUCUGACAAAUUUAAACCUUCAGCUGAAGACCUGCCAAGCGUCUUUGAUCAUAUUGAAGGCGAAGUUGAUGCUCUUGAUGAAGUCAUAGCUGGGCAUGGUGACUUCUGCGCUCUGCUAGCUUCUCGUGGCAUAACUGUUGCUUUUAUGAAGGCUGGUUGCACGCACGGGAAUAUUGCAAACAGGCCGAAUUUCAGCUUAUCACCAGCGGACUUGAAUAACAUCCCCGGCCUGGCCCGAAGCAUCGGAAACAUAUUCGUAACUCAAAUUUGGGCGAAGGGUGGACGAAGCUUGGCUGGUGACGAAGCUCGAAGUCACCUUAAGCCGGUAAUAAACUCAUACCUUGUGCUUACCUUUUCUUUGAAACUUGAAUUUACCUUAUAACGCUUUGUUAUGUACAGGAUAACGAAGCCGAAGAGCAAUGAUCCGAAGCUUGGCGUAUUAUCCGAUGCUUAGCGGAUGGUGAUGAAGCCAAAGACAUUGCUGUGAAAAAACUCUAGAGAAACUCUUGAAUUAUCCUUGUAAAGAAUAUUGUAAUUUAAGAAUCAAAUACUACUCUGUAAAUUUGUCCAUACCUUGUAAUAUAUUUUUACCUUUCCGUCCAUGUAUGAACUGCUUUGAUGUGGAUGAAACUUGUAUUUUUUGAGCCGAAGGCGAAAAACACCUUCCCUUCUUUUCGUACACAAUGAAGCAUAAAUCUGCUUCCUUUUCUUUCGUUGAAGCCUUAUCAUUAGAGCCGAAGCAACUGUCUGUAUUUGUAUGAUAUGAUGAUGAUGAUCCUAUGUAUGUCUAAAUGAAUGUAUAUGAAUGCAAUGAAUGAUGUGAUGUAUUGUGCAAAUGAAUGUCAGACGCACGCUUACGAAGCCACAUCAAAACUCCUCAUUCCCUUAGGAAUGACUGAAAUCUCUUUGCCGUUUAUUUUUCGGCUACACUGCUUAUUUAAGUUCUGCAUCCCCUUAGGAACGUCUUUUGAACUUCUUCGCCUUCUAUUUCGACGGUAUCACCGUUGACUUUUUGGUGUAAGUUCUGCAUUCCCUUAGGAACGUCUUUUGAACUUCUUCGCCUUAUAUUUCGGCGGUAUUUGGCUCUGCAUUCCCUUAGUAACGACUUUUGAGCAGAAAACUUACGCCGCGCUCCCUUAGGAACGACUUUUUGUAGCUUCGUCGUGCUCUGCAUCCCCUUAUGGACGACUUUCGAGCUUCUUCCUGUUUUUUUUUCUGCACUCGAUGGUGCAUGCCUAGAUUUUACAUUUUACAUAUUUUUGGGGGAUUUUGCUCUCAUAGAGCUGAAUAAGAAAGGAAAAAUUACAAACUAUGGCCCCAUUAAAAACCUUUCUCCCCCUUUGGAAAGGAAAAGGGUGCCAUAGGAAAAAUGAAAAAGAUUACAUCAAGUUACACAUAAUAUCGUCGAAGCUCAUCCGCAUUCCAAGAUCUAGGAAUGCCGUUGCCGUCCAUAUCCUUCAAUCUGUAAGAACCGGGUCUUGACGAAGAUACCACCAGAAAGGGUCCUUCCCACUUCAGUUGUAGCUUGCCUACUGUGUCUGAAUUGGCCACUCUCCGAAGUACCAAAUGCCCUGGCUUAAUGUUUUUCAGUCGAACUUUUCUGUCACGCCAUUUUAUUGUUUUGGCUUGAUAUUUAUUGAUGUUCUCCACAGCCUGAAGUCUGGUCCCUUCUAUAACAUCAUUUGCCACAGAAUAAUCAGCUUUGUCCUCUGUCGAAGCUACUGUUCUAAUUGACCCUGCCUUAGCUUCUUCUGGGGUUAUAGCUUCGUCACCAAACAAUAACUUGAAUGGUGUAAAACCUGUUGACCUUGAUAUAGUUGUGUUGUGGCUGCACACCACUUUAAUCAACUCAUCUGGCCACUUUCCUCUGGUUUGAUUGAAGAUUAACUUCAUUAUUCCCGUCAUUAUAAAACCAUUUGCUCUUUCGACCAGCCCGUUUGACUCCGGGUGCCUGACUGAUGCAAAAUGAAUCUUUGUGCCAAUCUGGCCGCAGAAAUCUUUGAAAGUUUCGGCAUCAAACUGUGUUCCAUUAUCCACAGUUAUAGCCUUCGGCACGCCGAAGCGACAAACAAUAUUUUGCCAGAAGAAUUUCUGUACUGUAACCGAAGUUAUUGUAGCCAAAGGCUUUGCUUCAAUCCACUUAGAAAAAUAUUCUACAGCCACCACGACAUAUUUCAAAUUACAUUGUGCUGGUGGAAGUGGGCCUAACAAGUCCAGGCCCCAUCUUUGCAAUGGCCAGGUUGGUUGUAUUAACUGAGUUAAUGACGAAGGUUGUUUUUGGUCCCUUGCACAUUUUUGACAAUUUUCGCACUUUUGGACCAGAUCUGCUGCAUCCGAAGCUGCCUUUCGGCAGUAGAAUCCCUGUCUAAAAACCUUUCCCAGCAAAGGCCUAGACCCAAUAUGAGAUCCACACAAUCCUGCAUGUAUCUCCUUCAUUAAUUCUAUACCUUCGAUUCUGGAUAAACACUUGAGAAGGGGGGAGCAAACUCCAUGUUUGUAUAAUUCCCCUUCUAUUAUGAUAUACGGUCUUGUUCUUGCUUCCAUUCUUUUAUUACAAACUUCAUCGUCCGAGAGGCAGUUACCCUGGAGGAAAGAUAUGAUUUCAGUCCUCCAAUCUUCACUAUGUACUGGAGAAAUGGCGAGCACUGCUCUCUCCAUGAGUUCAACCGAAGGUGCCUUUAUUGUUUCAAAAAAUACUUCCGAAGGUAGAGGGAGCCCCUGAGCCGCUAAUUUGGCUAACAGAUCUGCAUGCUCAUUUUCACCUCUUAGAAUGUUCUUGACAGAGAAACCUUCGAAAGAAGCCUCCAACCUUCGAAUUGUAUCCAGAUAUUUUUCAAGCUUCGAAUCUCUUGCCUUGCUAUUUUUAUCUACAUGGCCAGAAAUGACUUGAGAAUCAGUUUUCAGAAUAGUCCUUAUUCCCAUUGCCCUUAACUUCCGAAGCCCCAACAAGAGUGCUUUGUAUUUGGCAAUAUUAUUUGUACAACUAAAGUUUAGCUUGGCUGCAUAACAUGUUCUGACUUUCGAAGGUGCUACUAGAACAGUAGCUGCUCCUGCGCCGAAGGUUCCCCAAGAACCAUCGCAGAACACUGUCCAAGCUUCAGCAUCUUUCUUUAUCUCUUCUUCCUGAGCCCCUGGCGUCCAGUCAGCGAUGAAGUCUGAUAACGUGUGGGACUGAAUUGAAGAUCUAUGCACAUAAUCAAUGGUCAAUUCAUUAAGCUCUGCAACCCAUUUUCCAAUCCUUCUAGUAGCCUCUCUGUUCCUCAUGAUGUCCUUUAGAGGUUGUGAUGAAGGAACAAUUAUGUGGUAUGCUUGAAAAUAAUGCCGAAGCUUUCUGGAGGCCAUUAACACAGCAUAUAAUACCUUCUCCAAUUCUGUGUAAUUUUUCUUUGAUGGACUUAAAACUUCAGAGACGAAGUAUACUGGUGCUUGCUUUUUAGCCUGACCAUCUAGCUUCUCCUGUACUAGUGCCGCACUCACUGCAGAAUGCGAAGCUGCCACAUAUAAGAGCAAUGGAGCCCCUGGCAUGGGUGGAGUUAAUGUUGUUAAAUCAAUCAAAUAUUGUUUCAACUCUUCAAAAGCUUUUUGUUGUGCCGGGCCCCAUUGAAAGACUUCGGCUGACUUCAGUAUUUAAAAAAAUGGCAGAUUUCUUUCCGCUGAUCUGGAUAUGAAUCUGUUUAAUGAUGCUAAUCUUCCUGCCAGCCGUUGAGCUCCUUUCUUCGUGCUUGGUGGCUCCAUCCGAAGGAUAGCUUCGAUCUUGCUUGGGUUAGCUUCAAUUUCUUUCGUUGAUACCAGACAGCCAAGGAACUUGCCUUUCUUCAAACCAAAAACACAUUUCUCUGGAUUUAAUUUCAGGCCAACUUGCCUGAAAUUGGCAAAUGUUUCUUGCAAAUCAGCAAUGUGAUUUUCUUGCUUCGUGCUUUUCACUAUAAUAUCAUCAACAUAGGUCAGCACAUUUCUGCCUAUCUGGGAAUGAAGUACCUUGGCUGUCAUUCUGCUGAAGCUUCCUCCAGCAUUCUUGAGCCCCUCAGGCAUCCGAAGAUAGCAAUAGGUGCCACUGGGAGUUAUGAAGCUAGUCUUCAGCUCAUCUUCCUUCUUCAUCCAGAUUUGAUGAUAGCCUGAAUAACAAUCCAAUAGACCCAUGAGCUCUAAAGAAGCUGCUGCAUCUACAAGAGAGUCUAUUCUUGGUAGCGGGAAUUCGUCUUUUGGGCAUGCCUUGUUAAGAUAUGUGAAAUCAAUGCACAUUCUCCAUUUGCCAUUGGCCUUCUUCACCAUGACAGUAUUGGCUAACCACUCUCGGUAUUUUACCUCUCUGAUGAACCAGCACUGAGAAGCCUUUUCACUUCAUUCCGAGCACCUUCGUCUUUAUCAUCAGACAUCUUCUGAAGCCUUUGCUUUCUUGGCCUGAAGGAUGGGUCCACAUUGAGUGAAUGUUCAAUGACAUCUCUGUUGACACCGCAGAGAUCAUUGGCUGACCAAGCAAAGACAUCUUUGUUGUUGAAUAAAAAUCUUAUCAAAGUUUUCUCUUGCUCUUCAGAUAGCUGAGACCCCAGCAGUACUUUUUGCUCCACUAUGUCUUCACAUAGAAGCAUAGGCUUCGGCUGAUCCACCGAAGCAGCCUUCUCUCUUUUGUAUUUGUACUAUUCACAGACUUCGGCUCCAUCUACAUUGUGAAUUGCUUUUGAGUCUGUCCAAUUUCCUUCAGCUUUUCUAGCAGCUUCUUGACUCCCAUGAACAACAAUGGGCCCUUGUUCCGAAGGUAUCUUCAUGCAUAGAUAUGCUGGAUGAAGUAUUGCUUCAAAGGCAUUUAGUGUUCCACGACCAAUGAUUGCAUUGUAAGGAUAUUCCAUGUCAACAUUGUCAAAGACGACCUGUUCGGUUCUUGUGUUAUGAAUGAAGCCGAAGGUAACUGGCAUUGUGAUCUUGCCGAGGGCUGUAAUCUGUCUUCCUCCGAAGCCACAUAGAGGAUGUGUAGCAUCAUGAAUCUUGUCUUCUGGCUCUUGCAUUUGUCUGAAGGCCUUAGCAAAUAUGAUAUCCGCUGCGUUGCCUGUAUCAACUAGAACAUUAUGGACUAGAAAACCCUUGAUGACACAAGAUAUGGCCAUAGCAUCAUUGUGAGGAUAAUCUUUGAGCUGAAGGUCCUCCUGGGAGAAGGUAAUUGGGAUGUGGGACCAUUUUGAUUUGAUGAAGGGUCCCUGCACCCCAACAUGUUGUACCCUUCUUUGUGCUUCCUUCUUCUGCUUCUUGUUAGCCGGCUCUGAACCUGAACCGCCUGUUAUCGGAAGCACCAGCAGCUUCGUAGCCGAAGAUACUUCAGCUUGGUUGUUGAACGAAGCCAUCAGCUCAAACAGUGGAAGUGAGUUCACCAGAGGUGGGUGCCAAUGUUGGGGACUUGUUCUCAAAGGCUAUGAAUUAAGAACAAGGCAACACAGAAAAAAGGUUAAAGGUUAAUGCCCUUCGUCCCUCGAAGCAUUAUUUCUCUGAGGAUAUAACGAUCUUCGGACGAAGGUCAUGAAGGACAUACCUUCAUGAUCAUAAUAUACUUAGAUGAAAGACGAAGCAUAUGAAACAUGGGAAACAACAUGAAUAAUAGAAUGAUGUUAUAAUAUACAUUUGCUGUUAUUUAAUCAUGAAUGAAUAUAAACAAUAUUGAAUUACAUUUAUACCUUCGGCUUGACAGAAGGUAAAAAUCCAAGUGUGACGUGUGAGUGAAUACAAGUCAGCGUGAACAGUACAUGGAUACUGUUCAUCUAUUUAUAGGCACAGGACACAGCCUGUGUGGAUUUACAUUCAUGUCCUUUGCAACUGAUUAUAAUCAUGACACAGAUUAUCAUGGGUCAAUCGGUCUUUUCAUCUUUAAGUCGGUGCUACCCUUUGUCUCAAGGCGUGUCACUAUGCCGAAGCUCCCUAGAUGGUAGCUUCGGCUUUGCUUCUGUGUUGAUCUUCCAAAGGUGUUUCUUCUUACAGGACCUUCGGCAACGAAGCAGACCCCCAACAAUGGUAAUCGCUCCUGCGUCUCUCACAUUUUCACCAUAUGUCAAACUGAAUGUAUCAAUGAAGCAUAAACAUUAUGAGCAUUUAUUUAUGUUUAUAAGAGGAAAUGGGAAUAUAAAUAAUCUAUUUCUAUGUUGCCAUUAUUUACAUUUUUAUAUGUUUUAUGUCUCUUUAUUUGUAUUCAUUUACCGAGACGAUGAAGGUACACCCUUCAUGACUUUCGUCCGAAAAUCAUUAUAUCCGAAGGAAGAUAAUGUUUUGAAGGACGAAUGUCCUUAUCCAUUAACAAUUGUGUUGCUUUAUUCUUGGUGUAUAACAUCCGAUAACAAGGACCAACAUUGGCGCCCACCAUCAGUGAACUCACUUCCACAAUUGUGACGAUGGCUUCACACAACAACCAAGCUGUAGCACCUUUGGCCACGAAGCUGAUACUCCCAAUCACAGGUGGUUCAAGUUCUGAACCAGCCAACAAGAAGCAGAAGAAGGAAGCACAAAGAAGGGUACAACAUGUUGGGAUGCAAGGACCCUUCAUCAAAUCCAAGUGGUCUCACAUCCCAAUUACCUUCUCUCAGGAAGAUCUUCAGCUCAAGGAUUAUCCUCACAACGAUGCAAUGGUUAUAUCUUGUGUCAUCAAGGGAUUUCUUGUCCACAAUGUCCUAGUUGACACAGGCAGUGCAACGGACAUUAUCUUUGCAAAGGCUUUCAGGCAAAUGCAAGAGCCCGAAGAUAAGAUACAUGAUGCAACACACUCUCUUUGUGGCUUUGGAGGAAGACAAAUUGUGUCACUUGGCAAGAUAACAAUGCCAGUUACCUUCGGCUAUGUCCAUAACACAAGAACUGAACAAGUUGUUUUUGACAUUGUUGAUAUGGAGUAUCCAUACAAUCAAUUAUUGGUCGAGGAACGCUCAAUGCUUUUGAAGCAAUACUCCAUCCAGCAUAUCUAUGCAUGAAGAUACCUUCGGAGCAAGGGCCCAUCGCUGUAUACAGAAGUCAAGAAGCUGCUAGGAGGGCUGAAGGGAGUUGGAUGGAUUCGAAGGCUAUUCAUAAUAUAGAUGAAGCCGAAGCUUAUCAGCAGUAUAAGCAUAAAAGAGAGAAGACUGCUUCAGCAGAUCAACCAAAGCCUAUGCUUCUCUGUGAAGACAUAGCAGAGCAAAAAGUAUUGUUGGGAUCUCAACUAUCUGAUGAAUAGGAACUUUUUUGUUAAGAUUCCUGUUUAAUAAUAAAGAUGUUUUUGCUUGGAUAGCAAAUGACCUUUGUGGCGUCAAUAGAGAUGUUAUUGAGCACUCACUCAAUGUGGACCCAUCCUUCAGACCAUGAAAGCAGAUGCUUCAGAAAACGUUUGAUGAUAAAGCCGAAGGUGCACGAAAUGAAGAGACUUCUAAGUGCCGGUGUUAUCAGAGAUGUAACAUAUCCAGAGUGGCUGGCUAACACCGUUAUGGUGAAAAAAGCUAAUGGGAAAAGGAGAAUGUGCAUUGAUUUCACAGACCUCAACAAGGCAUGUCCGAAGGAUGAGUUCCCUUUACCAAGAAUAGAUUCCCUUGUAGAUGCAGCAGCUUCUUCAGAACUUAUGAGUCUAUUAGACCGCUAAUGGGUUAUCACCAAAUUUGGAUGAAGAAAGAGGAUGAGCCAAAGACAAGCUUCAUAACUCCUAGUGGUACCUAUUGCUACCUUCGGAUGCCUGAGGGGCUCAAAAAUGCUGGAGUAAGCUUUAGCAGAAUGACUGCCAAGGUUCUUCACUCUCAACUAGGCAGGAAUGUGCUGACUUAUGUCAAUGACAUCAUAGUGAAAAGCACAAAACAAGAAAAUCAUGUUGCCGAUUUGUAAGAGACGUUUGCCAAUUUUAGACAAGCUGAUCUCAAGUUGAACCCAGAAAAAUGUGUUUUCAGAGUGAAGAAGGGCAAGUUUCUUGGUUGCCUGGUAUCAACAAAAGGCAUCGAAGCUAAUCCAAGCAAGUUCAAAGCUAUCCUUUGGAUGGAGCCACCAAAUUCAAAAAAGGGGGCUCAACGGUUGGCAGGAAGGCUAACAUCGUUGAAUAGAUUUAUAUCAAGAUCAGUAGAGAAGAAUUUAUAAUUCUUUAAAAUACUGAAGUCAGCUGAAGUCUUCCAGUGGAGUUUGGCUCAAUAGAAAGCCUUCGAAGAGUUAAAGCAAUAUUUGAUAGAUUUGACAACUCUAACCCCACAUUCAUCAGGAACUCCGCUACUUCUGUAUGUGGCUGUUUCCCAUGCUGCGGUCAGUGCGGCACUUGUACAGGAGAAGCAAGAUGGCCAAAUAAAAAAACAAGCACCGGUAUACUUCGUCUCCGAAGUACUCAGUCUGUCAAAGAAAAACUACAUAGAAUUGGAGAAGGUACUAUAUGCUGUAUUGAUGGCCUCUAGGAAGCUUUGGCACUACUUUCAAGCAUAUCAUAUAAUAGUGACUUCAUCACAACCCCUGAAAGACAUAAUGAGGAACAGAGAAGCUACAAGAAGAAUCAGAAAAUGGGCCGCAGAGCUUAACGAAUUCACCAUUUAUUAUGUACACAGAUCCUCAAUUCAAUCUCAGGCGUUAGCAGACUUCAUUGCUGAUUGGACGCAAGGGGCUCAGGGUGAAGAAGCAACAAAAGAUGCUGAAGCUUGGACGGUAUUCUGCGAUGGAUCUUGGGGGACCUUCGGUGCAGGAGGAGCUGCUGUUCUAGUGGCACCCUCCAAAGUUAGAACAUGUUAUGCAAUAAAGUUAGACUUUAGUUGUACAAAUAACAUUGCCGAGUACGAAGCUCUUCUUUUAGGGCUUUGGAAACUAAAAGCAAUGGGAAUAAGAAGGGCAAUUCUCAAAACUGAUUCACAAGUUAUUUUUGGCCACGUGGAUAAUAGUAGCAAGGCAAGAGAUCCGAAGUUUGAAAAGUAUUUGGAUGCAGUCUGAAGAUUGGAAGCUUCUUUUGAGGGAUUUUCUGUAAAAAAUAUCCCAAGGGGAGAAAAUGAGCAUGCAAAUUUGUUAGCUAAGUUAGAGGCACAGGGGCUCCCUUUGCCUUCGGAAGUAUUCUUUGAAACAAUAAAAGCACCCUCAAUCGAGCUCAUGGAGAGAGCAGUACUCACAAUCUCACCUGUACAUAGUGAAGACUGGAGGACCGAAAUAAUAUCCUUCCUCCAAGGCAACCACCUUUCAGACGAUGAAGCUUACAAUAAGAGAAUGGAGGCAAGAACAAGACCCUAUGUAAUAAUUGAGGGGGAGUUGUACAAGCAUGGAGUUUGUUCCCCAUUGCUUAAAUGCCUUUCCAGGAAUGAAGGACAAGAGUUAAUGAAGGAAAUACAUGCAGGACUGUGUGGAGCCCAUAUCAGAUCCAGGCCUUUACUGGGAAAGGUUUUUAGACAAUGUUUUUAUUGGCCGAAGGCAGUUUCGGAUGCAGCGGACUUGGUCUAGAAAUGUGAAAACUAUCAGAAGUGUGCUAGAGACCAGAAACAACCUUCGUCUCUAACACAAUUGAUUCAGCCUACUUGGCCAUUGCAAAGAUGGGGCCUAGAUCUGUUAGGACCGCUCCCACCAGCAUAAGGAAAUUUAAAAUAUGUUGUGGUGGAGGUGGAAUAUUUCUCAAAGUGGAUUGAAGCUAAGCCUCUAGCUACCAUAACUUCAGCCACAGUCCAGAAGUUCUUUUGGUAAAAUAUUGUUUGUCGCUUCGGUGUACCGAAGGCUAUUACAGUCGACAAUGGAACUCAAUUUGAUGCUGAAAUGUUAAUGGUUUUUUGUGACCAGAUUGGUACAAGAAUACAUUUUGCAUUAGUAAGGCAUCCAGAAUCAAAUGGCUUAGUAGAGAGAGCAAAUGGAAUUAUAAUGGUAGGAAUGAUGAAGUUAAUCUUCAACCAGCCUAGAGGAAAGUGGCCAGAUAAGUUGAUAAAAGUGGUGUGGAGCCACAACACUGUUGUCUCAAGGUCAGUAGGUUUUACUCCUUUCAAGCUCAUGUUCGGUGACAAAGCAAUAACACCAGAAGAAGUAAGAACAGAAUCAAUAAGAACCACAACUUCAGUGGAGGACGAAAUUGAUUGUCAAAUAACAAAAGACACCAUAGAAGGGACUAGACUUCAGGCCAUAGAGCACAUCAAUAAGUAUCAGGCCGAAACAAUAAAAUGGCGUGAUAAAAAGUUCGAUUGAAAAAUAUCAAGCCAGGCCAUUUGGUGCUUUGAAGGAUAGUCAGCCCAGAUACAGUGGGGAAGCUACAACUGAAAUGGGAAGGUCCUUUUCUGGUAGUAUCUUCGUCAAGACCCGAUUCUUACAGAUUGAAGGAUAUGGACGACAACGACAUACCCAGAUCUUGGAAUGCAGAUGAGCUUCGACGAUAUUAUGUGUAAUUGAUGUAACCUUUUUAUUUUUCCUAUGACACCAUUUUCCUUUCAGGAGGGGAGAAAGGUUUUUAAUGGGGCCACAAUUUGUAAUUUUCAUUCUUGUUUAGCCCUAUGAAAUACAAGGGCCGAAAUCCCGUAAAAAUGUAACAUGUACUAUCAGAAUCUGCACCAUCGAGUGCAAAGAGAACAGAGAAAAGCUCAAAAGACGUCCCUAAGGGGAUGCAGAGCUGUAAUCACUCUGAAGGUGACGAAGCUACCAAAGUCAUUCCUAAGAGAGCGCAGAGUAAGUUCCGAAGCUGCAAAAGUCGUUACUAAGGGAGCGCAGAGUAAGUCCCGAAGCUCAAAAGUCAUUCCUAAGGGAAUGCAAAGCCAAAUACCACCGAAAUAGAAGGUGAAGAAGCUCCAAAGUCGUUCCUAAGGGAAUGCAGAGCUUAAAUGCCACCGAAAUAGAAGGUGAAGAAGCUCCAAAGUCAUUCCUAAGGGAAUGCAGAGCUUAAAUGCCACCGAAAUAGAAGGUGAAGAGACUCCAAAGUCGUUCCUAAGAGGAUACAGAGUCUGGGUAUGGUUUCGUUUGCGUUCGGGUCAUACAUUUGCAUAUUACAUCGCAUCAUUCUUUGCAUUCAUACAAACAUUCAUUAGACAUUCGUAGGAUCAUCAUUAUCAUGACAUGAAGCACGAACGAUAAUAUGAACAGAAAGAGCUAUCCGGCUUCGGUGACAAAGUGCUUCGUUGAAUACGAAGAAGCUUCGGUUGCAAGCAUGAAAGGCAUUUUAUGCAAUGAAAUGCUUCGAUGUGUACGAAAAGAAGGGAAGGUGUUUUUCGCCUUUGGCUCAAAAAGUUAUACUCAUGGGUUUCGUCCACAGCUAAGCAAUUCACACGUGGAUAGAAAGGUAAAAUUAUAUUACAAGGUAUGGACAAAUAUAUACAAUUUUGAGUUUAGUUCUCAAUUACAAUCUUUUGCAAAAAUAAUGCAAAUAGAUCCUAAGCUCUAUACAGGAAGUCAUAAAAGGAAGCUUCAGCCCAACAAUCUUCGGAAUGUGCUUCGGCUUACUAACCUUUGGCACCGCCAUCCUGAAGACAAAUAACGGUAUAAGGUAAAUGCGAUGGUGAUAAAGAAAAAUCAAGACAAACAACAGGUACAAGUUUUGUACCGAUUUAAGCAAAUUCCGAGCUUCGUCUCCAGCUAACUCUCGUCCGCCUUUAGCCUAAAUUUGAGUAAUAAAUAUAUUUUCAAUACUUCGGGCUUCACCAGGAAUAUUAACCAAAUUUGAUGGUGACAGGCUAAAGUUUGGCUUGUUUACUGUUUUAGCAUGCGUGCACCCGGCCUUCAAAAAUGCAGCAGCUGUGCCACGAGAAGCUAGCAGGGCACAGAAAUCACCAUGCCCAGUUAUUACUUCGUCAAGUGCAUUAACUUCAUUCUCAAUAUGCUCGAAGGUUUUUGAUAUAUCUUCAGCCGAAGGGGCAAUUUCUUCGGAGCUGGCCCCAACCGAGUUGAAGAUUCUUUUUAAUCGAUGCACACAGCGAGUAGCAAACUCCGAGCAUGUAUUCCGAAGGUCCCUCAGGGAUUCCUGCAGCUUCGUGUUCUUUUCAGCUUUGGCUUCGGUCUUCUCUUGCAUUUCUUUUUUCUCUUGCUUGAAGCGCUCUGAUUUUUCCUUUAAGGAUGUUUGAGCUUUGAGAAGCUCCUCGUUUAAUCUAGCAUUUUCAGCUUGUAAUUCCGCAAGGGAACCUUCGGUUGCUUGAAGCAAGAAGUCUUUCUUUUCAAGACAAGCUUCGCAAUCUUUGAUCUUGCUUUCCAAGCCUUCAAUUAUUAUCUCAUUUUUCUUAUCUUCGAGAUCUUGUUGCAUUCUUAAUUCUUUGCCUAGCAGCAUGCUUGCGAAAAUAAGUUAACUUUAGAAUAUCCUAAUCCAUCAUAAAGACAACAAGAAUCUAGCCAAAAGAUUUUACCUUGAAAUUGGAGUAAAAUAGGCUGCCGACGAUAUGUUAUCAUCGGUAACCGCUAAUACUAGAUUCCAGCUUCGGAAAACCAACACUCUUCGAUAGAGUGCCGAUUAUUUUUGCCUAGCGCGGUCACGGAUACAUCCUAGGAUUUCCUUGUCAACUCCGCCGAAGAGCAUGGAUCCCGGCUGGUACCCACAAGACUUUCCAUAUUCUUCUAGCUCCUCUUUCUCUGCCUCGGACAAUUCCUGACCUCCCAGGUGCCGCAGGUCAAAUUCUUUUGACAAAGCAUCAACAACUUCUUUCCCCUUGUCAGACGUUGUGGCCAUACCUCUACGGUUGCAACUAUUUCCUCUGUGACCAUAUCCGAUAUGAGUUUGUCAAUUCCUGACAUUGUGCUCACAACAUUAGCAGCUUCGGCAACAGCUUCAGCUUCGACAGUGGCUUUAGCUUCGGCACUUGCAGCAGGCAUCAUUUUGGAUGCCGAGGCUAGAGGCGGUAUUCGUUUAAUAGCUUGCAUGACAUUGACAAUUCUUCGUCUUUUUUGACCUUCAGUCUUCUCCUUUAUGGCCGAAGGCUGAUCCUUUUUCUAUAAAAGUUUCGUCAGUUCCGGUCCCAAAGGACUUAGCGGCGUGAUGGGCAAGGAUUCAGUCAUUACCUUUAAAAUUUAUGCUAUUUCAGCAGCAGGGGGCGUUGAAGGAGCUUCUUCUCUUGCCUCAGCAGAGGGAGUCACGUCAAGCUUCCGCUUUUUGGAGACUGCUACCUUCGGCUCAGGAGCUGAUUUUGCCUUCUUCGAAAUCUUCUCAUCCUCCUUUACCAGUCUGGUAGCUUGUCUAUUUAAAACACUAACAAUACUUUUCCUUUUCAAACCUUUGGCACCCUUGUCAAAUCUUUCAUAGUCUGGGUAUUCAAAAUUUAGCGCAUCCAUCAUGCGAUUCAGCCUUCAUUUUGGCCGGGUGCUGAAGGCAGCAGUCAUUAGCUGGUCCUCCUUCUUGGUGUAGUUGCCAAGGAUUUCAUUGCACAUAGUUUCAAUCAUUUCUAGCCACUCUUGGCAUGGCUUCUGAAACUCUUUCUCAAACUUGAAACGGUAAGGGAGCCGAACAAUUUUGUGCUUUUUGCUCCCAUCUUUUUUUCUUGGGCAUACCCCAGCCACUAGAGGUCGGAAAUACUCUAUUUAACAAGAAUUCUUGCACUAGAUCUAUAGUGCUCACUUUGGUUGCUUCCACUCUAAACUCCACUUUGGCUACUUGGCAUGGGGAGCCAAGCUGCAUAUGGCACAAGGGCCUUGUCAUUCUGAAGCUCGAUGUCAGUGGGCUCAUAACCAUAGUCAUUAGCUUCUCCCUCUUUUUCUCGUCUGCUUUCAUAUAAAACCAUUCACUCUUCCAACCAGUUGGCCACUUAGUACGGUAGCUAAGAGCUGGUGCCUUCAUAUCCUUUCGAUACGCAAAAUUGUAGCAACCAAAAUUCUCAUGAAGGCCAUCUGCCCUGGCCUUCGUCUGGUAAUGCAGCUCGUGCACCCGAUAGAAAGCUUCGACAUUAGGAGUCAUCCCCUAGUUUCGGAGGGCCCAGAUCUAGACACUAAGUCUAACAAUUGCAUUGGGUAUCAAUUGAUGAAGGUAUAUUUCAAAAUUCUUCAAAACCUCUCCUAUAAUAUCAUAAAGAGGGAACCGAAGCCCGGCUCUGAAGAAAUUUUAAACACAACAAUUUCAUCAUCCUUCGGCUCUGGAACCACUUCCUCGCUAGAAAAAAUGAACAAGUUUACUCUCAGCUUCCCCAAAGUAACCUAAUUUCUUCAUUAUAACCAUAUCAUCUGCCAUCACAGUGGAUCUGCCAAAUUCAAGGUGGCUAGGUUUUUUUUGGGCUCAGGAUGGUGGAAUCCUCUUCAUCUUUGUUAUCACUUUCCUCCCCAACUGUGAUUUGCUCAGCUUCAGCAGUCAAAGUACCUUCGGCAACAGGACCCUCUGGCACAACAAGACCUGAUUGCCUCAUUACCUCUGAUAUUGGUGUUGUCUUAGUUACUUCGGCCUCAUCUCCCUCACGAGACACUCUAGCAGUCGAUCGUACUCUGGCCAUUUCAGUGUUUUCGCUCUUUCGAGACAAAGAUAAUCUCAAGUGCCAAAGUGUUCGCUUGAAAACGCAAUACAGAAAGCUUCGACUAUGGUUAAAUUUUUUAACAGCACAACAGUGCAAUGUCAAUGAAUGCUAUGGUAAUUCCUCACCAACCCGUCUGUUUAUAUAGUGCUGCAGGGGGAAGGCGAACCGCCAUGCCGCUCACACUAGCUGAGCGUUGGACCGUCCGACGCCUGGAAUAUUAUAAUCGUUUCUCGACAACGAGCUCAGGGAAGGUGUUUUUCAGACUUUCGGCAUUCCGAAGCCUUCGUGUUGUUCGUGGAUCGAACUCGUUACAAAAAACGAUCUAGCACCGCGAAGGCGCUACUGUUGGGGGUCUUCUUCUCCGCCGAAGGUCCUCUAGGCAAAAACACCUUCGGCAAGACAGUACAAAGGCAGGUGAAACAUGAAGAUAUAAGCCGA